rnacentral:miRNA from 1 species
UAGGAUGACCAAUCAUCCUGGUUUGCCAAGGACUAAGAAGUUUUCCAAAAUAUGGAACUUAUAGUGCUACAAUUGAAAAUUUUCUGGACAAACUGGAAUGAAUUGGUCAUCCCAGAAUCAA